GGCCCCGUCGUCUAGUGGUUAGGACAGGGGGCUUUCAAUCCCCAAACACGGGUUCGAUUCCCGUCGGGGCCGCC
rnacentral:tRNA from 1 species